GUCCUGAUAAGUGCAAGUUUUGCCGAAUCGCCCACGACCAGUACAAGUUCCUCCUCCAGCUCACCCCCAGAGAGAGAAAAAGUUGAAAUAACCUUUUGUCGACACGAAAAUAAGAAGAUCGAAAUCGGAGCAAAGGUCUACAAAGGAUGCGAGGAAUGCACAUGCACGACCAAGCCCUAUAUCAGCUUCUUGGGACCCGCGGAUCAAGGACAAGUGGUAUGCAGCGAGGGUACUGUUUGUUGUCAGUUCAUUGACAACGAAGGUAAAACUCAGCGAGCCUACACCGGUGACAAAUACAGUGAUGGUUGUAACACAUGUACAUGUAAAAAGGACAUGACUAAGGAUGAUUGCACUCAGCAAAAAUGUAAGAACAUGUGUCGGUAUAGGACUUUGGAUAAUGUCGUGAAUUAUACCAAACCCGAAAAGUUGAUGCGAUGGACGGGAAAAAGGACUGUCCCAGAAAGUGCAACUGCAAGCGAUCAGAAAAACUUAAGUGCACAGGACGCUGCACUAACGAGCUCUGGGUCUCAUGGUUUCUUUGACUUUGGUAUUCUGCACUAACGAGAGCUCUGGGUCUCAUGUUUUCUUUAGUUAAUAAUUUUAAGGCGGGCGAAUUAGUAAUAGCCCUGUGUUGAAGUUUAAACCAAGUUUGAGUUGAUAAUAAAACAAAAACAAUCUCUCUUAUAAUUAUAAAGAAUGAACAAUUUUAAAAUGUCUUAAGAAUAAGUAAUACAGUCACAAAUAUGUUAACAACUUUUUUCAAGCAUGGAAUAUGAAAUGUAUGGUAAAAAAUGUAUUAUUGAUUUACUACAACCAUA